ensembl:misc_RNA
CCCCUCUUUAUCUACACAGCAGGUAAGGCACAAACAGUGGCAAUGUGAGCUCUCUUUGCAGUCCCCUGCCAGUGUGCCUGACUGUUAAGCUGGGGGAACAAAGGAAAGAUAGCAUAUGGAUAGCAGAUUGUAGGAGCGCUGAAAGAGG